ACAACUGCAUACAAACUAGUUAGUUCUAAAUUUAUUUAUGUUUUUUAUAUCAGAAAUUUAGUAGCAUAUGGCUAGAAAGUAAAUAAUGAAUAUGAUUCCAACCAUGGUAGAUUCAAAGAGCAGCUGCAAGUUGCAGGUUCCUCACAAGAUGAAGUCCCUAUUUAUUUUCAAUAAUCUGAAGCAGCAAAGAAGCAAUUCGUUGCAAAUUGGUUUGCAAACGCUGGUUUUCUCUAAUCUCCUCUCAUUACUUCGUCCCCUGUUUCGUUAACAAUUGCAAUACUAAUGGUAAACUCUGCUCCCCUUUGCUCUUGUUUUACUUGAUGGAAAUUAUCUAAAAUAUGUAGAGUUUCUGCACGGUAAGGUUUAUCAAAUCGUGUGGGUUUAGGGUUUUUCUAUGCGGGUCGGCCCAAUGAUCAUUCACUUAGUUUGGAAGCAUCCUGUGGUGACUUAAUUUUAUUCUCUGAUAGAAAUUACUCUGCUAUGAGUUAUUAUAUCUGUAAUAUUCUCACUAGGCAAUGGAUUGUUCUUCCUCCAGCUCCUCCAGAAAGAGGGGUUUUUGGUGAGAGCGUUGGGUUCUUGUACGAGCCUUUGGAUAAUGAUGAUCGACACUAGAUGUGGCAAACAUGCGGGUCGGGUCGUAUAUGAGACGAGUCGAAAAUGGGUAGUGCAAAAACAGAUAAAUUAUCCAACCCGGUCCAUAUUUAAUACGGAUAAAAAAUGGAUUAACUGGCGGAUAAUGUGAUUAUCCAUAUUGUCCAUGACUUCUUGAAUAUGAUCACUUUUGGAAAAAUUACUAAUCUCCCAAACUUGAGAAACCCUCGAUUUGAGGCUUUACAAAUAUAAAAAUUAAACUCAUUAGUUAUCCAUUGGUUAUUUAUUUUCUAAGUGGAUAAUAUAGUUCUUAUUCAUAUUUGAUCCGUUUUUAAAAAAUUCAUUAUUCAACCCAUUUUUAAUAGAUAAUAUGGGUGGAUAACUAUUUUCUUUUAUCCAUUUUGCCACCACUAAUCGACACAAUAAGUAUCUGAAGGCGUUACGAUUUAUUCCUUGUGAUAGGUAUUCUCAUGAAGGCAAUUCUAUGUUUAUUGUCGAGAUAUUUUCGCCCAACAAGAGCAAUUAGACCAAACUUGUUGUUAUGUCUCCGCGGAUUUUGAAAAGUUCGGGUUCUAAGACUUCGAUUAUUGCCUGCGGACGGACGUUAUAUACAUUGAAUUAUAGCAAUGGCAUUACGGUUAAUUGUAUUCUCACGUUUGAUCCAUUCACUAAUGAUCCUGCUCAGUUCCUAUGCGUUAUUGAUUUACCACCUGAGGCUCGUGAUAUUCGUUGUAUGGCCAGCGAAUUGGGAGUGUGUCGAGGUUGUUUACAUCUUGCUCGAGUAAAUCUCCAACCAAGUACAUACCCUUGUAUAAGUGUAUGAGAGCUUGAGGAUUACAGAAGGGGAAAUGGACGUUGGUACACAAGAGAAUCCGGACGAACAAGGCAUUAAGAGUGCCCCUAUUUCGUUGUGAUACCAAGAAUUUGAUUUAUGUACUAGCUUUUCUCCCAAAUAAUGUGGAUCUUAUAUGUUUUCGUGCAGGUAAUUAUCAUGUUGUCGUGUACAAUAUACAAACAGAUAAAGUGGAAAGCUCUACCCGCUAUUCUCUAUUCACGCUGCAUGAUCCACCAAGAUUACUAGUAUCAGAUGUGUUACCAAUUGCCAAAAAUGGUGGCCAACUCCGGUAAGACAUCCCUUUGAUCUCAGAGCUUCCUAUCAAAGAGUGAGUCUUGGUCAUUUGGAUUAGAGUUGUUGAUGAUCAUUCUUAUCUUUUUCUUCUUCUUGUCCAUAUUUAGUUCAUUCAGGAUGUUUUAGGCCAUAUGAUGUAGUGUUGAAAUACAAGCAUAUUUUUUUUUUUAUGAAGUAAGUAGGAUAUAAUAUAAAAAGGCAUCAAGAAGAUGCAAUAAGGUUAUACAAGAAGUGAGUUUGUCAGUUCAUUUAUAAUUUAAGUGCUACAAAACUAGAGAGCUGACAAAAUCAAAAAUAAAAAUAAAAAUUAGAGUCAUUUACAGCAGUGAGGUUAGCCCAGUGAAACAAGUUAAUCAAACAUUUAGCCUUAAAGGAGCAUAUUGAAGUUGAUAACCCAUCAAAACAUCUACUAUUCCUUUCGGUCCAAAUACACCAAAAAAUACUUGCAGGUACUAUAUUCCAGAUUUUCCUGAUGGCUCUGUCAACUUUCUUUGAACUGCAGCUCACAUAGGCAUCUCUGACAGAGGAGCAUAGUCCAAUGCAAACCAAAAAUACUGAGAAACAUGUUCCAUAUUUCUGUGGCUACUGAAAAAAAGGGCAGCUCGCUGCACUAAGCUCCUACUAUGUGUGGGGUCCGGGAAGGGCCGGACCAUAGAGGUCUAUUGUACGCAGUGUUACCCUGCAUUUCUGCAAGAGACUGUUUCCACGGCUCGAACCAGUAACCUUCUGGUCACAUGGCAAUAACUUUACCAGUUACGCUAAGGCUCCCCCUCAUUUCUGUGGCUACUUCUGUGGCUACUGAAUAGUGGAGAAAAAGAUGGUUAAUGGAUUUUGAAUUCGGUUGGCACAUGCAACAUCUAUUGGCCAGUUGGAAACAACUUCUGCUGAGGUUGUCUUGGGUGAAGCGGGCACCCUUUAAAGCCAACCAGCUGAAGUAGCACACUUUAGGUGGUGGGUUUUUUUUUUCCAUUCUAGUUUCCAGGGCCAUAAAUCAAUCGUUAUAUUAUUGGAGCACAGGUCAACAUACUCUGCCUUGACAGAGUAAAUUCCAUCCUUAGUGUUUCCCCAUUUCAUUUUGUCCUUCUGCUGAGUGUUAACAGUGCGCUCUCUAGUAAUUUCAUCACGUUUAUGAAUUCCUCCACCUCCCAAUCUUAUAGGUUCCUUGUAAGGUUUGGGCUCCAUGAGUGGCCUUCCCUGUUUUGAGCAACAAGAGAUUCUGGAUUUGCUGCAAUAAGAAAGGGAUUUGGAAAAGCUUCUUUUACUGUUGAGUCCCCUAACCAUUUCUAAGUCCUGAAUUUUGUGGUGGCCGCAUCAUCAAUCUGAAAAUGGAUGUUUUUAGAAAAAGCUCAGUAGUAUAUGCUCUUCCAUAACCCUGUGCCAUGAGGAGGUUGAACUACAAGCAUGUUGACUUAGAAAUAUAGUACUUCAAUGUAUUAGAGAACUCAUAGUGUUAGAUAAUCUGUAAAUACGAAAUUUUGAAACAUUAUGCAUCCAACCGGAGCAUUUUGAUAUUUAGGAGUCGUACACCAACACUAACAGAAUGAGGUGCAGUAAUUGUUAUUUCUGUUGUUGUUAGAAUCCAAGGCCUCCUAGGUGCUUGUUUUUGCUAUUUCUUGCCGGCCGAUCAAGUGUGAUUUUCAUUUUCUCCAUUGGUUGUUCUCCAAAUGAAGUUCCUUCGAGUUCUACCUAAGUCUCUAGUGAUACACAUGGUGUAAUGACUCAACUGGUCAUUUUAACUUUUGGAACCCCAUUCCCUAAAAUAAAACUUUUCGUAUAUAUUUUUAAUAAUUUACGACUUGCGGGGAUAGUUGGUUCGGGAUUUGGAAGUGUUCGGGUUGAAAUCGGAAUACUUGGUUCCUUAAGUUAGCCUUAAGCAAGUAUUUUUAGAAAAACGACCUCGGAAUCGGGAUUUGACUGUUCUAAUAGGUUCGUAUGAUGAUUUCGGACUUGGGCGUAUGUUCGAAUCGGGAUUUGGAUAACCCAGGAGCGUUUUGGCAAUUAAUAGUAAAAAUCGACUAUUUGAAGGUUUAAUGUUCUUUAAAUUUGGUUUGGAGUAGGUUUUGGAGUAAUCGAGGUUCGUUUGGAAUUUCGAGCCUGGGAAUAGCUCCGUAUAGUGAUUCUGGUCUUAGGAGCAUAUUCGGAAUUUUAUUUGAAAGUCUAUAGUUGAAUUAGACUUGAAAUGGCUAAAACAAGAAUUUAAGUUUGGAAGUUUGACGGGGGAGUUGACUUUUUGAUAUCGGGGUCGGAUUUCGAUUCCGGAAGUUGGAGUAGGUCCGUAAUGUCGAAUGUGACUUGUGUGCAAAAUUUGAGGUCAAUCGGACAUGAUUUGAUAGGUUCCGGAAUCGAAUGUAGAAGUUUGAAGUUCUAAAGUUCAUUAAGCUUGAAUUUGGGUGUGAUUCAUGAUUUCGAUGUCGUUUGAUGUCAUUUGAGGCCUCGAGCAAGUUUAUGUUAUGUUAUGGGACUGGUUGGUAUGAUUGGACGGGGUCCUGGGGGCCUCGGGUGUGUUUCGGAUCAUUUCGAGCUGUUUUGCAAUAGCUGAUACUGGUGUCUGGUGUUGUUCUUCGCGUUCGCGAGGAUCCUCUCGCGUUCGCGAAGAAGGAUUUGGCUUCUGAGAUUUUGUUCUUCGCGUUCGCGAAGAAGAAAAUCUUUGUUCCGUAGGUCUAACUUCGGAGGCUCAUAUCUCACAAUCUAUAAGGAAUUUUGAGAUAAUCCGAAACUGAAAAUUGUAACCCUUUGUGUCUAGUUUUAAGAAAAGUAAACCAUUUAGCAUUUGGAUUUGUUUACAAAAAGUUAUGGUUGUUACACUACAGGCUGUCCGGGAAGAUGAAGAAGCAAUUUGUGUUGCAUAGGGCUGAUUUUGGCAGCUUAUAUCUCAAAAUCUAUAAGGAGUUGGGAGAUGAUCAACAUAUGAAAGUUAUAGCCCUUGAUGUCUAGUUUUCAUAAAGUCAAACCAUUUGUGAUUUGGAGUUUUGUACAAAAUGUUAUGACCAUUAUACUAGAGGCUGUCUGAGAAGAGUUUGAAAAUGGCUUCUGAGAAUUUUGUUCUCGCGAAUGCGAUGAAGGGUCGCCUGGGCAGUGUAUAAGUUUGAAAAAAUGGGUUUGGCUCAUUUCAUCUCAUUUCCUCCAUGGGAGCCGACCUAGGAGCGAUUUUGGAGCUCCAUUUUCAUCAUUUAUGUCAAGGUAAGUGAUUCCUACUUAUUGCAAGUUAAAUACUUGGUUUAUAUACGAAUUUAGGCGUGAAAAUUCAUGAAAAUUAGUAGAAAUUUGGGGUUUUGAAGAAAAACCUAGAAAUUGAUAUUUUUGGAUUUUAACCACGAAAAUUACUAUGGGAUUUGGAUGGAAAUAGCAUAUUUGAGUUCUUGAGAUUUUGGGUAACGAUUCUCUCCGAAAAUUUUCGAAAUCGAAGCACGUGGGCCCGGGGUGAAUUUUAGGAAUAUUAUCAUUUUGAAUAGGGUAAUUUAUUUAAUAGAUGAAUGUCGAAUUUUUGAACAUAUAUUAAUUAUUUUGUAUAAUAUUUGGAUAGCUUCGGAUUUUUCGGCAUUGAAUCGAGAAUUUUACGCGACGCGGUAAUCGGAAAGUGGACCUUGAGACAAGGUAAGUCUCUUGUCUAAUCUUGUGAGGGAAAAAUUACACCAUAGGUAAUUAAAUUAAUAAUUAUUGCUAAUUGUGGGGGCUAUGUACGUACAAGGUGAAUAGAGUCCGUGCGUAGCAACUAUUAAUGCUAAAGUCCGGGUAGUUUAGGACUCAAAGCAUGAAUUACUUGUAUAAAUUGUAUCCGUUAUUUAAUUACAUUAUUUGAUAUAUAUCGUAAAUUUUUAGUGAGAGAUAGUAAAAGAUGGAAAUCUCAUAUGCUUAUUUCUGUUUAAAUUAAUUAAUUGUUAAAAGAAAUUGUUCAUCCUCUCGAAUUUAUCUUAUAAUAAACAUACUCUCAUUCCGGAGGUACAUAAGAAAAUGUCAUCCUUUCUUGUGGAGCGGGCCGAACGCCUCGGCAGGAUAGAUGCAUCUACGGNNNNNNNNNNNNNNNNNNNNNNNNNAGUGUACACGACACUCUGGAUCGGGCCGAACGACCUCGACAGAAAACGUGCUUAAUAAUAAUAAUUACACGAUACUUUGAUAGUUUAUUUCAGCUUGUGAAGCUAAUUGAAAUUUUGAAAUUAUUGGAAUUUAAAUAAUUUAUUUAUCUCUGCUUGUUAAGGAAAUUAUUGUUAUUUUUGUAAAUGAGGCUAAUUGAUAAAUUGGAAAUUUAUUGGAAUUGAAGGUAUUUAAUUACUUCUGCGGGUUCAAUAAAAUUAUUGUUAACUCUGUGAAUCACGUUGAUAUAAAUAUUUCUAUUUUCAUGAUUAUUUAAUAUUAUUGACCCAUAGUGAGUGUCAAAGUCGGCCAUCUCGUCUCUACCUCUUCGAGAUUAGGCUUGAUACUUACUGGGUACGCGUUGUUUUUGUACUCAUGCUGCACUUGCUGCACAUUUUAUUGUGCAGGUACAUAUAUAUCUAGCGGCCUUGUGGGCGCAAAGGUGUGGUUAAUAAUUGUCGGGACAUAGGUGAGCUGCAUUCUGUAUUACGAUCCGCAGCCAACAGAGUCUCCUUCAGAAAUAUUAUAUUUUCCUGUCUAAUUUGUAUUCUGGACAGAUGAUGUAGUUUAUUUUUAAUUCCCUAGUAAAUGCUCGUGCACUUGUGACACCGGAUUUUGGGAUGAUUAUGGGUUGCAC
rnacentral:lncRNA from 1 species